rnacentral:tRNA from 1 species
GGUGGGGUUCCCGAGCGGCCAAAGGGAGCAGACUGUAAAUCUGCCGUCAUCGACUUCGAAGGUUCGAAUCCUUCCCCCACCCCGA